rnacentral:rRNA from 1 species
UGGGGAAUAUUGGACAAUGGGCGAAAGCCUGAUCCAGCCAUGCCGCGUGUGUGAAGAAGGUCUUCGGAUUGUAAAGCACUUUAAGUUGGGAGGAAGGGCAGUAAGCGAAUACCUUGCUGUUUUGACGUUACCGACAGAAUAAGCACCGGCUAACUCUGUGCCAGCAGCCGCUGUAAUACAGUGGGUGCGAGCGUUAAUCGGAUUUACUGGGCGUAAAGCGUGCGUAGGCGGCUGAUUGAGUCGGAUGUGAAAUCCCCGAGCUUAACUUGGGAAUUGCAUUCGAUACUGGUUAGCUAGAGUGUGGGGGAGGAUGGUAGAAUUCCAGGUGUAGCGGUGAAAUGCGUAGAGAUCUGGAGGAAUACCGAUGGCGAAGGCAGCCAUCUGGCCUAACACUGACGCUGAGGUACGAAAGCAUGGGGAGCAAACAGG